UACAGAGGUCCCGAGCGUUGUUCGGAUUCACUGGGCGUAAAGGGUGCGUAGGUGGUGGGGUAAGUCGGAUGUGAAAUCUCGGAGCUCAACUCCGAAAUGGCAUUGGAAACUACCCUGCCGGAGGUUUGGAGGGGGGACUGGAAUUCUCGGUGUAGCAGUGAAAUGCGUAGAUAUCGAGAGGAACACCAGUGGCGAAGGCGGCUCACUGGCCCGGUACUGACGCUGAGGUGCGAAAGCGUGGGGAGCAAACAGG
rnacentral:rRNA from 1 species